GUUUGGGGGCGGGGAUCCACCUCGGUUAUAAGUCUUGCUGAAAAUGUAAAUCCAACUUUGGUAUAUGAUGUAAGAAACCGAAUCGUUUUAUAUAUCCUCAGUCGAAAAUCGAUUUGUUUUGUUUGGUUAAUUUUAAAGUUGCGCAAAGUUUGUGUUGAGGCUGGCAUGACUGGCCUAUUGGGUUUCUUCUCUUUUUAAAACAUUUCAUAUCUUGCAAUCUGCCUGUAAUGUUGUGGAGAUACCUAUUUUUCGCCGUUCUCCUGAUAGCUGUUCAGUUAAUGGCAGCUGAAGGUUCAAGCAGACACGGUGUGGACAAAAAACAUGCACCAUUGAAAGACCCAUCGUCGAACGAAACGGAAGUUUUGAACCACGGAAAACCGAAAAGCCUGUUUGCCAGGAGAGCGCACCAACGUCUUCAGAGGCCCGUGGCUCUGCAGCACGCUGCGGUAGAUAACAUCUGGCAUGCUAAGUAACUCCAUUUUUUUCCCACCGAAACCCGAGAUGAGGACCACAGCUCAGUGCAACACGACUGCAUUCCUCCAGCAAUUACAGAAAGGGCUUGCGUGAGGCAAUCUGAUGAAAUCACAGAUUCUAUAGACCCCCCAGAAGAAGCCUAGGGAGCCGAAACAGCCUUCACCCCCUUCGGACCCCCCAGCCCGGCGCUGCCCCAGGCUGAUG